rnacentral:rRNA from 1 species
AGCGGCAGACGGGUGAGUAACGCGUGGGAAUCUACCUAGUUCUACGGAACAACUGAGGGAAACUUCAGCUAAUACCGUAUACGCCCUAAGGGGGAAAGAUUUAUCGGAAUUAGAUGGGCCCGCGUAAGAUUAGCUAGUUGGUGGGGUAAUGGCCUACCAAGGCGACGAUCUUUAGCUGGUCUGAGAGGAUGAUCAGCCACACUGGGACUGAGACACGGCCCAGACUCCUACGGGAGGCAGCAGUGGGGAAUAUUGGACAAUGGGCGCAAGCCUGAUCCAGCCAUGCCGCGUGAGUGAUGAAGGCCUUAGGGUUGUAAAGCUCUUUCAGUGGGGAAGAUAAUGACGGUACCCACAGAAGAAGCCCCGGCUAACUUCGUGCCAGCAGCCGCGGUAAUACGAAGGGGGCUGGCGUUGUUCGGAUUUACUGGGCGUAAAGCGCACGUAGGCGGAUUGUUAAGUCAGAGGUGAAAUCCUGGAGCUCAACUCCAGA